UGAUUACACCUUUUUGACACUAGGUGCUGCCAGUAGGAGUGUACCUGAGGCGACAGGUGUUGUGCAUCUACUCAUCAGCUGGGAAGCAUAUAGAGGAAGGUUGCCAACACCUCGGCACCUGAGUGUUUUUGCCUCCGUGGUGUGAAUCCUACCUGAUCUGUUACAGUCCUCCAUAGUGGCUAAGGCUACUUCCUGAUCUAGUCUGUGCAUGGCAAGCUGAACUCCUUUCCUGACUUUUAUUCUCUCCCUGGCGGGUUAUUCCGGAAUCUCCAUAAGGAAGAUUAGACUCGUUGCUCCUGUUGUUCCUGAUCAAUCUUUCAAUAAAAAC